rnacentral:lncRNA from 1 species
UACAAGUAAGAGAGAGUUUAGAAUUGUUACUCAAUCGAUAGCUAUGAAAAUCCCGUGAAAUCUUGCUCAAAUCCGAGCUCCCAAGCUUAAGUUUUAAUAAAAAUGGCUAGACCCUCGAUUUGAAAUCUUAUAUCUGCCCAGGUAUUUCCUUAAUCGUGAUCGCGUAAUUAGCCUUGCGAUCGCGAAGCACAAAAUGGGCUGACCUUAAUUUACCUUACCCGAUCGCGACACGCUUCACGCUUUAUCCAAAGCUAUACUACUCAACCUCAAGCGAUCGCAAAUUAACACACGCGAUCGCGAAGCUACACCAUACAGACUGACGCGAUCGCAACCUUACUCACGUGAUCGUAUAGAACAAACUCUGCCCCUUCUCUCAAAUAAUCCUACAAGGUCGCGGCCCCUUGUACGUGAUCCCGAAGAACAAAAGUCUGCAACAAACCUGAAGUAAAAUCUGCAAUUUUCUAACAAUUCAACAUGGCCCGUUGAGCAUCCGAAACACUCCCGAGGCACCCGGAACCUCAACCAAACCUACAGACAUAACCCAUAGCAUCAUUCAAACUUGUUCCAUUCUUUGAAACUCCCAAAACAACAUCAAAACACCUAUUUCUUAUCGAAUUGAAGCUUAAAAUUUUCACUAUAAAUACAUUUUGGAUAAAAAAAGUCUAUCAAACCUCGUCCGAAUGACCUGAAACUUUGCACGCACAUCCCAAAUGGAACUAUGGAACUAAUGUAACUCUCGGAAUUCCAUUCUGACCCUCAUAUCAAAAUCUCACUAUCAAACCGUAAACUUCAAAAAAAUUCACCUUCGGCAUUUCAAGCCAAAAUUAGCUAAGAACCUCCAAAAUACAAUCCGAACACACUCCUAACCUGAAAUCACCUAACGAAGCUAACAAAACCAUCGGAUUUUCAUUCCAAGGCUGUCUUCACACUAAUCCCAUUAUGGUAAAUUUAUCAACACUUAUGCUCUCACUUAGGGACUAAGCGUCCCAAAACUCUCCGAAAACUCAAAACCGACAUCCCGACAAUCACAUUAGCAGAAAUGAACUUGGGAAAAGCAAUUAAUAGGGGAUCGGGGCGUUAAUUCUUAAGAUGAUUGGCCAGGUUGUCACAACGAUCUCCAAGUGUCGCGUUCGCAAUGAGUUAACUUCCCCUCCCCAGGUCUCAUGCUCCGCGUUCGCGGAAGACGGGUCGCUUUCGCUAAGGGUAAAGCCCCCGCUGCUCCGCAUUCGCAACCUGUCCUUCGCAUUCAUGAAGAAGAAAUUUCCUCCUGUCCCUCUUUACCUUUCGCGUUCACGAUACUACCUACGCAAACGCGAAGAAAGGCAUAUCAAAACAACUACUGCAACAAAAGUACCGGAUUUUGUAAGUCUGAAACAUCCCGUAGCCUAUCCAAAACUCACCCGAGUCCUCAGGACUCCAAACCAAACAUGCGCAUCAGUCUUAAAAUAUUAUACGAACUUGUUUGCGCAAUCAAAUGCCUAAAUAAUACCUAGAACUACGAAUUUAGCAUCAAAUUGCCAGAAAUUUUCAAGAAGUUUCAAAACUUCUAUUUUCUCAACAAAUAUUCGAAUCAUGUCAAAUCAGUCUUGUUUCUCACCAAAUUUCAAAAAUAAGGUAUAGAUAUCAUAACGGACAUGUAUCGGGCUACAAAAUCAAAAUACGAACCCGAUAUAAACAAGAUCAACUAUUAACGAUUUUCCCAAAACAAUUAUAAUUUCAUUUUAAAAUUUUCACCAAAAAUUUAUUUCUUGGGUUAGGAACCUCAAAAUUCAAUUUCGGGCAUAAGCCCAAGUCUCAUAUUUUCAUGCACUCCCUCCGAGACCAUCAAAAAUAAUUUCGGAUCUGUUUACCCAAAAUGUUCAUCGAAGUCAAGUAAAAUCAACUUUUAAAGACAAAAAUUAUUAUUUUCUCAAAUUUUCACAUAAAGGUUUUCCGAAAAAGCGCUCGGACUACACAUGCAAAUCGAGGAGAAAUAAAAUGAGGUCUUGAAGGCCUCAGAAUCCCGUAUUGAGUUUUAAAAUACAAGAUGACCUUUCGGGUCAUCAAAGUUUACUCAAAAUAAUCAAAGUUUACUCAAAAUAUUGACCGAAGUCAAUUAAAAUGGAUUUUAGGCAAAAAUUCAUAUUUUCUCAAUUUUUAACAUAAAAGCUUUUCCGGAAAUACUCGGACUGCACAUGCAAAUCGAUGAGGGCUAAUAUGAGGUAUUUAAGGCUUCAAUGCACAGAAUUAGAUUCUAAAAUAUAAGAUGACAUGUUGGGUCAUCACAAUUACUCAUAUAAUAUACAAGAAACCAAAAAUUUAAAGAGAAAUGUAUAAAAGUUGAUAACCAACAACAAAUAUAUACAAUAUAGACAAAAUUUCUACAAAUAUAGAAAACAAAAAUAGGUAUAGUGAGAAUGAGAACAUAUUUUGUAAUUAAUAUUUUACCUUCUCCAAUGACUAUAGGGGUAUGGUUUUAGGAGAUUUUUGAACCUCCUUUUUGAAGGUUAAAGGGUAGGAGAAACUUUGACUUUUUUGUGCAGGUUUCGAGAUAACUUCUUCUUCGACGAGAUCAUCAUCACGAGCAAUUUCUUAACCCUUCCGCUUUAUCGAUUUGGCAGAUGUCGAAGCUUCAUCAACACCCCUAUCAUGCUUGAGUUUUGUUCGAUCUACUGCCCUAACUUCACGAGGGAAAAUCUUGGAUUUUGUCUAUGGUUUUGCAUGUGUCGAUUUCACUACUUUUUGGGUGAAUCCUAUGAGAAAUACUCAAAUUAAAAUUAGGAAUAUCACCAACAUUAGCUUUUUUAGGGAUAUUCUUCGGAACUCCUUUCUUCUUCAUUGUAAUAAGGAAAAUUUAUUCGAGCUGGUACUGAUUUCGUAGGAUUUUGAGCGAGAAUUCAGAAAGAUUGAGAGAGAUUAUAAAAGUUUUCUUGACCAAAAUGAAAGAGACCAUUAACUAAGGGAGAGAGUACAUAAUCGUGGGGAGUAUGGAUAGAGAAACGUGGGGGAGUGUGUUAUGUACGUUAGCGAGAUUACAGGAGUUAAGUGAUUCUUAUUGAAUUCCUAAAAUGUAUAUAAUUGGUAAAUUACAUAUGCCUAUAUAUCUAAAUCGAAACUUGAGUAGGAAGGGUAAUAAAUUUUAAAAAAUAAUGUAUUGGAAGGUAAAAAUCUCUAUUAUAUAUCCAUCUAAUUUUGAAUGACAAACUAUUUAAAUUAAUUUUCUUAAGAACUAGUUACCUCCUAUAGCAAAUGUUGAUACAUUAUUUAUUUUAAAUAAAUACCCUUUUAAAAAAUUAUAUUUCAUAGCUACCUUUUGACUUUUUAUAGCCAAAUAUCUAUUUAUGGUCACCUCUUACCUUUAAGUCAUAAAUAAGCUUUAUAUUAUUUUUUUCUCUCAUAUCCCCUCAAAUUUCUCCUAUCCCCUACCCCAUAUCUCUCUCUAUUUGCAUCGACUUUCUGUUACACACCCUAAAAAACAUAUGCAAAAAAUGUAUUCAUCUGUAUAUCCCAAUAGGAUAUUUUUUUUGGGAUUGCAUGUACAUUAGGCCAUGAUUGCAUUGCUGGUUCUUCAGAGCAGACUGAAGGAAUGAAAAAGCAUUGAUGAAGUGAACACCAUAUUCUUUAUGGUCAAGAUGUGAGCUUAGUUUUCCGCUGGGACUUAGUGUGAUAUGUGUCACACCUCCUUUUUUAUACACCACCCCAAAGGGUAGUAUAUAAGGGAAUUUUUUCAAUUUAAGUGAUAUUAUUCGAAAUGGGAUUAUUAUUUAAUUUUAUUCAGAGUCGCCACUUGGGAUACGCUUUUUUCUGGUGUCCCAAGUCACCAAUUAAUUUCAAAUCCCAAUUAGAGGAAAAUAAGACUUUCCUUGUGAAGUCUGCGAACCAAAAAUUGUGAAUAAGAAAUUCUGUUAACCCGAGGGAAGGUGUUAGGUACCCCCGGAUUCCGUGGUUCGAGCAAGGUCGCUUAAACUAUCAUAAUUGGCUUAUUAUCUGAUUUUAAUAUAUGUUCAAACCUAUAGUGAAAUUUUAAAUUAUUUACCGCUUUUAAUUAAUUUUUAAGAAAAUUGAACGUCGUUUAAAAUAUGUUUUUGAAUUGCGUCACAUGAAAUGCACCCGCCAUCCGGAACACAUCUUAUUCGACGUUUUAGAGUUUGGAUUUGGGUCACAUGAAAUGCACACCCGAGUUUAGGAAUGUAAAAUUUUUAAAGAACGCGCUUAAAGAGACUAACGCGUUAUUAACUUUGCGAGAGGCCAUGGAAAUUCGCUAAAUGGCAUGUCCCGAAUUCUAAGUAUUUUAAGGAACCAGUUUAAACGAGGGCCACAUAUUUGCAAUUUUAUUUGGUGCGCCGUACCUCAAUUUUUAUUUUAAGGGAUGUUCGAACUAAAUUUUGGAGGGCCAUGGACUACUUAUUAUCUAAUUAUGGUCCUCUCUGAUCAUUUAAAAUUUUUCUAUUUAUCAAGUACCCAAAGUAUUUGGACUGUCAUUAUUUCCAAACUAACGUGGGUUUUCAAACUAGAAUUUCGAAUGAAGCCCAAUAAGCCUACAUAUGCAUGUGAUAGCAAAGAUGAACCUCUAGGAUUUUUGUAUGGACAAAUUAGUAUUAAAAUCACUUAACAAACUCAUGAAUAAACUUGUAUUUCUGUACAUUACUCGACCCUUUAUUGAACUAUCAGACAAUUCAUUUUUGAAGUCCUAAUAGCCCUGAACUAAUACGCUUAUCAUGGAAUUGUAUCUAUCUAAGAGACUCAACAGCGAUGAAUAUUUAACACACGUGAUAGCUAAAAAACAAGGUUCAACAAUUUAACUGGGUAAAUUUAUAAUAGUCUGGAAACUAAACACUGAAUCAAGGCACUAUUUCCAACGUCUAUCAAACCAGGAAAAUUAGAGCUGAUAUAAGCGUACACAAUAGUUCCAUAAUCAGUUUCAGGUUCUCACAAUAAUCUUAAGUGAAAUUUAAGCUAUCAUUUCUAAGUUUGAGCUGAGUGGGAGUGCAGAAAUCAAAGAAAAACUAAUCUAUACUACUAAAGCUAAACUAAACGAAGAGCGAUAAUAUAGUUCAACAGUUCAUAGUUAGUUACAAUGUGAAGAUUUAGCUAAAAGAACAAAUCGAAUUACACUGAACCCAAAAGAAUGAACACACAAAUAAAAGGAAAAACAAAUCGGCAUGGCUUUUAUUUCCUUCCAUAUUGAGAGCUACAUCAUGAAGAAGCUAAGAUUGAUACCUGGAUAUGGGAGAAAUAAAGUAAAAGAAACAGGAGGUUGGUUUCAGCAGCAGAAGUAUGUAGAAUCAGCAGCUAAAAGAACAGUAAUCCACAGCUUUGAAUCAGUUAUGAACCAGGAAAACCAAAAUAGACUUGAUUUCAAUUUUGUUUCAACUAUCAGCUACCCAAAUAUUGUUUUAACUUCAAAAAUCAACAGUAAGGAUCAAUGGAACAAUAUUUUUUGAAGAAAAAUCUCUCAAGUUCCUGAAAAUCUCUCUCUCUAAUCUAGCCUCUCAAAUUUCAGGUUCUCUAAGAACUCUUAAGAAAUCUGUAGACUUCUAAACUUUUUUUUUGGCC